UUUUUUCCAUUUAAAUAGUAUUUAGCAUUUUCUCUUUUUGUAUUGGCUGAUGUUUCCAAUUAUUCAAAAUCUAUGUUUAUUGUAAAAAUCCUAAAAGAGCUAUUACAAAAUUGUGGAAAUAAUUGAGGAAAAAAAAGAGUUGAUAUUGGGGGGAAGAGGAUUCUUCUUUUUUGGGGAAGGAUAAGCCUUUUUGGAGGGGUAAAGGGGGCAAUUGCCCCUCCUUACCCAUUUUCAAGUGGAAAAAAAGAAGCUCUCUUAGUCAAUUUGAACGAGGCUAUCAAAGACAUUGCAGAGGCCAAAGAAUUCUUGAAGCAAAGAGGAGUUGAUGUGGACUAUGAUUGAAGGCUCUCUCUUAUGGCGCCUUUGAAGAACCAAGGUGAUUUUAAGACAGUUUCAAUUCUAUAUGAUCACAACUUGAGGUACAAAUUGGAUGAUAAGUUGUGUGGGAGUGUUGAAUUCAAUGAGGUAGAGUUUGCUUACAGCUCUCUAAAAUUGGUUCGGUAUUUGAAACUAUAGAUGCAGAAUAUGUUGUAAAUUUUGCUUGUAUAGCAUCGAAGUGGGGCUCAUCAAAGAACUAAGAACCCACAAGGUUGCCAUUGCCGAACUCAAUAAUCUUUCUUCAUCUAGGAUGGUACUAGCAGAGAAGAAGAGGACAACUGAAACAAUAACAUGGAGGUCGAAAGCAACUUGGAGGGUGACCUAGAGGAAAACUAAUAUAGAUCUUUUCAUAAUUCUAGUUGUUUAAAACAAUAUUUUUAUGUUAUGGUUUAAUUUUAGGAUUUCUUUGUAUAUUCUAUAUUUUAAAGUUUGAACUUAUAAGAAUUUUUAUGUUUCAAUGGAUCAAUUUUUAGUAA